GGGGAAUUUUCGCAAUGGGCGAAAGCCUGACGGAGCAAUACCGCGUGAGGGAGGAAGGUUUUUGGAUUGUAAACCUCUUUUUUAAAGGAAGAAGAAAGUGACGGUACUUUAAGAAUCAGCAUCGGCUAACUCCGUGCCAGCAGCCGCGGUAAUACGGAGGAUGCAAGCGUUAUCCGGAAUCAUUGGGCGUAAAGCGUCCGCAGGUGGCUGUUCAAGUCUGCUGUUAAAGACAGAAGCUCAACUUCUGAACAGCAGUGGAAACUGGACGGCUAGAGUACGGUAGGGGUUGAGGGAAUUCCCAGUGUAGCGGUGAAAUGCGUAGAUAUUGGGAAGAACACCAGUGGCGAAGGCGCUCAACUGGAUCGUAACUGACACUCAGGGACGAAAGCUAGGGUAGCGAAAGGGAUUAGAUACCCCUGUAGUCUUAGCUGUAAACGAUGAACACUAGGCGUUGCUUGUAUCGACCCGAGCAGUGCCGUAGCCAACGCGCUAAGUGUUCCGCCUGGGGAGUACGCACGCAAGUGUGAAACUCAAAGGAAUUGACGGGGGCCCGCACAAGCGGUGGAGUAUGUGGUUUAAUUCGAUGCAACGCGAAGAACCUUACCAGGACUUGACAUCUCGAGAACUGAACCUAAUAGUUCAGGUGCCUUAGGGAACUCGAAGACAGGUGGUGCAUGGCUGUCGUCAGCUCGUGUCGUGAGAUGUUGGGUUAAGUCCCGCAACGAGCGCAACCCUCGUUCUUAGUUGCCAGCAUUAAGUUGGGCACUUUAGGAAGACUGCCGGUGACAAACCGGAGGAAGGUGGGGAUGACGUCAAGUCAGCAUGCCCCUUACGUUCUGGGCUACACACGUACUACAAUGGUUGGGACAAAGGGCAGCGAGCUCGCAAGAGUCAGCGAAUCUCAUCAAACCCAGCCUCAGUUCAGACUGCAGGCUGCAACUCGCCUGCAUGAAGGAGGAAUCGCUAGUAAUCGCAGGUCAGCAUACUGCGGUGAAUUCGUUCCCGGGCCUUGUACACACCGCCCGUCACACCAUGGAAGUUGGCCACGCCCGAAGUCGUUACCCUAACCCUGUAUAGGGAGGGGGAUGCCGAAGGCAGGGCUGGUGACUAGGGUGAAGUCGUAACAAGGUAGCCGUACCGGAAGGUGUGGCUGGAUCACCUCCUU
rnacentral:rRNA from 1 species